rnacentral:rRNA from 1 species
AGCUCCAAUAGCGUAUAUUAAAGUUGUUGCAGUUAAAAAGCUCGUAGUUGGAAUUGAAGAUUAAGAAUUUUGUGUUCAAGAUCUUGAGUGAGUCGUGUUGACUUGCAGUUUACUUUGACAAAAAUAGAGUGUUUAAAGCAGGCAUUAGCCGGAAUAAUAAAGCAUGGAAUAACAGAAAAGGACUGGGAUUUUUCGGUUGGUAAAAAAGACUGGUAAUGAAGAAUAAGGACGGUUGGGGGCAUUAGUAUUGAGUAGUCAGAGGUGAAAUUCUAGGAUUUACACAAGACUAACAAGAGCGAAAGCAUUUGCCAAGGACGAGCCUA